UGCUGUUAUGAUGAAUGGCAAAUUGUUCAACUGCUCUGACAGUGAAUGAUGACUUGUGCCUUUCUGAACACG